rnacentral:rRNA from 1 species
CCUACGGGAGGCAGCAGUGGGGAAUAUUGCACAAUGGGGGAAACCCUGAUGCGCCAUGCCGCGUGUGUGAAGAAGGCCUUCGGGUUGUAAAGCACUUUCAGCGAGGAGGAAAGGUAUGUAGCUAAUAGCUGCAUGCUGUGACGUUACUCGCAGAAGAAGCACCGGCUAUCUCCGUGCCAGCAGCCGCGGUAAU